rnacentral:sRNA from 1 species
AUAUCUCUCUGUACGGGAAGGAUGAGAAGCUUCGACUAAGGUUCGAUUCGAGCGCAGCGAGAAAGCGUUGCCA